AUACGGAGGGUACGAACGUUAAUCGGAAUUACGGGGCGUAAAGCGCGCGUAGGUGGUUUGUUAAGUGGGAUGUGAAAGCCCCGGGCUCAACCUGGGAAUUGCAUUCCAAACUGACGAACUAGAGUACGAUAGAGGGGGGUAGAAUUCAGAGUGUAGCGGUGAAAUGCGUAGAUAUUCUGAGGAAUACCGGUGGCGAAGGCGGCCCCCUGGAUUGAUACUGACACUGAGGUGCGAAAGCGUGGGGAGCAAACAGGAUUAGAAACCCCAGUAGUCC
rnacentral:rRNA from 1 species